rnacentral:tRNA from 1 species
GUCAGGAUGGCCGAGCGAUCUAAGGCUCCAGACUCAAGGUUUAGAUCUUUUCCCUGGUUAAAGGAGGAUUCUGGUCUCUAAAUGGAAGCGUGAGUUCAAAUCCCACUUCUGACA